GACGAACGCUGGCGGCGUGCUUAAUACAUGCAAGUCGAGCGGUUAUGCGCCAUCUUGCUUCAGCGGACCUGUGGCGAACGGGUGAGUAUAACGUGUGGAACCUGCCCCAGAAUGUGGGAUAUGAGCUGGAAAAGGCGUCUAUUACUGGAUACGACACUGUCCAGCACGGGGGUGAUUUGGGAAAUUUUGCGGUAUGGGAUGGUCUUGCGGCCUAUCAGCUUCUUGGUGAGGUAUUGGCUCACCAAGUUGACGAAGGUUAGCCGGCGUGUGAGCUCCACCAGCCACAAUGGGCCUGAGAGACGGCGCAGACUCCUACGGUAGGCAGCAGUGGGGAAUAUUGCACAAUGGCGGAAAGUGUGUUAUGGCGGCGCCGCGUGCGGGAUGCCGGCCUUCGGGUGGUGAACCUCUUUCAGCGUAGAAGUAGCGAGAGUGACGGUACCUACAGAAGAAGCACCGGCUAACUACGUG
rnacentral:rRNA from 1 species